CUUUAUAACACGCGGGAGACGAAGGGUCAGGGCUUUCUCGAGUUCUUUUGUCAAGGACUCGGAAAGCUGUCUACGUGGUGAUUUAAGAAAAACUGUAAAUGUCUGACGGAGAUUAUGCCGAGUCCCAUUUUACAGGCGCUCAGCAAAAGCGGUUCACUGUGACGGAGCAGAUGCCAGCUACCGCGAUCACCACGUGGCGCCAGAUUUGCUGGGUGCCUUCAAUCCAGCACAACUUGACAUAGGUCAUAUAUAAGCCAAGUUUAUUUUGCUUGCCAAGUCCUUAUUGUCCGGCUCUCGUCAACGGCAAGUCUUUGCCGAGUUCGAACUGUUACCGAGAUCUGUACUCAGCUUACAUAGUCAUUACCAAGAGCCCGUGUUGGGGAACUCGGCGAAACGGUAAGCACUCGACACAGAGGGAUUUUCCAGUAGUGUAUGGACAUGUCAUUUACAUAGGCAUUUCGACAACGCCCGACUCACUUUAGCCAACCUCCUUGACAAUAUCCAGUCGAAGUUAGGCUAGGGGCAAUGGCGGGUGGGAGGGCUGGGGUCGCUACCAGUUGAGACGGUGCCUAUUAGUGGCAUCCUAUUGUGAUUCUGGGUGUCUUUCAUCUUUGAGUUUGUACAAACUCUUCUUUCUAUCAAUGCUUCAAGACGCAAGGCUCUGCAUUUUGUCCAAAGAAAAAAAGGCAUGGACGUCUAGUACUGGUCAAAAUUCUUGAUGUCAACUUGACAGUACAAUGUACUAAAAGAAAGAACUGUAAUUGGACGUCCAAAUCAUCUUUGAAACAAUGUUGAGCAAUGAAGGUACAGCAUUUAUGCCCAUCACAUCAGCUACCAAAAUGGUAUAAUGGAUACGCUGCAACAAGUUGACAACUGAAACGUUAGGAAUAAUCCCAAGCAUUACAUCUAAUCUACCUCAUGUGUAAACACUUGUUCGUGUUGUUUUCAUUUCACCCUUUUCAGCCAUGAUGAUGUGCCAGGGUCCUGGGUGAAGACCCUUCUCCGCCUCGGACUUGGCAGCGGCGACGCUUAGUGCCGUUUACCUCCCGAGGGCGUUGUCAUGGAGCUUAGGUGUCCUACGGCGUGUCGUGGUGGUGUUUUUAGGCCUACCUAUGUGUUCUUUUCUUAGAAACGUAGGCGUGUGCGUUUAUGUUGUCCGGCUAUCCUGGAAUCUGCUUUGCAAAGGGCUUCCUCACCUUAUAUCGUUCGGCCGUGUAUUUUGAUUUGUGCUUUAUCUAUAAAGUGGGGUAAGAGCACAUGCUUCGAGAAAAUGAUGAUCCAUGUGUAAUUCUUAAAAAACUGUCUGCACACCAAGAAUGGCGUCGCCUCCUUUUAAGGCUUCUAUUGUUGGACAGGGACCUCCUGAGAGCCAAUGAGAUCUGCUCGUGUAAUGGUCCAUCAACUUGCCUCCAGCGCGCACAUAGAAGACCAGCGGUAUUGCAACGCAAAUCCUUAAAUGAGAAGGGAGAAGGCCACAUGGUGCGGGCCUCUGGGGCAGCAUACCAUGACUGCAUGACGGAGAUAACUACUAGGAUAAACUAAGAAAAUGUACGUCUGAAUGCAAGAGCUCAGAGCGAACCUAGAUGGUGCACUUAUUACAUGUACAUGGAGCGCCAACUGGCAACAUGUUUGAGUGGUCACAGCAAAGGACUUGUGUGGCACCUGCAAAUUGAGCACAUGAUGGCUGUCUUGUCUUGCUAGGUUGUCCGUCAUUGAAGAAAGCAAUUCGGUUAUGAGAUGAUUACCCAGAAACCAGUGAACUGGACUGUGCACCAGAGCUGAUGGAAGCGUCUUAACAUCCUCUACGGAUGCUUAUGUUUUUUCUUCUUUUUCUUUAGAUGACACAUUGCUUGUGUUAAUACGGUGGUGGUAUCAGUGAGCUAUGCACCAAACAGACAACAUGAGAGGACAGAAAUAGUGAAAUAAUCGAUGUGGUUGAGC